rnacentral:tRNA from 1 species
GGGCUAUAGCGCAGUCCGGUAGCGCACCUCGUUCGCAUCGAGGGGGUCAGGGGUUCAAAUCCCCUUAGCUCCACCCA